rnacentral:rRNA from 1 species
GACGAACGCUGGCGACGUGCUUAACACAUGCAAGUCGAGCGGUAAGGCCCUUUCGGGGGUACACGAGCGGCGAACGGGUGAGUAACACGUGGGUGACCUGCCCUCAGCUCUGGGAUAAGCCUGGGAAACCGGGUCUAAUACUGGAUAUGACUCCAUGACGCAUGUUGUGGGGUGGAAAGCCUUGUGCGGCUGAGGAUGGGCCCGCGGCCUAUCAGCUUGUUGGUGGGGUGAUGGCCUACCAAGGCGACGACGGGUAGCCGGCCUGAGAGGGCGACCGGCCACACUGGGACUGAGACACGGCCCAGACUCCUACGGGAGGCAGCAGUGGGGAAUCUUGCGCAAUGGGCGAAAGCCUGACGCAGCGACGCCGCGUGAGGGAUGACGGCCU